rnacentral:rRNA from 1 species
AAUCCAUAGGUUAAUGAGGCGAACCGGGGGAACUGAAACAUCUAAGUACCCCGAGGAAAAGAAAUCAACCGAGAUUCCCCCAGUAGCGGCGAGCGAACGGGGAGGAGCCCAGAGCCUGAAUCAGCAUGUGUGUUAGUGGAAGCGUCUGGAAAGGCGCGCGAUACAGGGUGACAGCCCCGUACACAAAAGCGCAUGUGCUGUGAGCUCGAUGAGUAGGGCGGGACACGUGGUAUCCUGUCUGAAUAUGGGGGGACCAUCCUCCAAGGCUAAAUACUCCUGACUGACCGAUAGUGAACCAGUACCGUGAGGGAAAGGCGAAAAGAACCCCGGCGAGGGGAGUGAAAAAGAACCUGAAACCGUGUACGUACAAGCAGUGGGAGCCCCACCACCAAAGCAUUUGCUGUACCGCGUUGACGGAGCGAAGCGACGUCAAACCGAUAAAACAGCAGUGUAAAGUGAGCCGCAGGGCGCUUUGCGCGACAGCGCAAAGGCAGGCGGUUUCGCGUAGCGAAAGCGAAUGCUUUGGGGUGGGGUGACUGCGUACCUUUUGUAUAAUGGGUCAGCGACUUAUAU